GACGAACGCUGGCGGCGUGCUUAACACAUGCAAGUCGAACGAAGUGGCGAACGGGUGAGUAAUACGUGAGUAACCUGCCCUCCUUUUUGGGAUAAGCCUUGGAAACGGGGUCUAAUACCGAAUAAAGGGGGAUGGGCUCGCGGCCUACCAGCUUGUUGGUGGGGUGAUGGCCUACCAAGGCGGUGACGGGUAGCCGGCCGUAGAGGGUGACCGGCCACAUUGGGACUAAGAUCCGGCCCAGACUCCUACGAGAGGCAUCAGUGGUGGAUAUUGCACAAUGGGCGAAAGCCUGAUGCGGCGACGCCGCGUGGGGUAUGAAGGCUUUCGGGUUGUAAACCUCUUUCGCUUUCGAACGGGUGGGUGGAGAAGGAGCGCCUGCUAACUACGUGCCAGCAGCCGCGGUAAUUC
rnacentral:rRNA from 1 species